rnacentral:piRNA from 1 species
UGCACAAAGAUGCAUCUUGGGCAC